ensembl:lncRNA
CAACAAGGUGGGUGAGGUGUCGGGAACAGGGCGUGCUCCCGCCCUCCAGGUGGCCGAGCUGGGACUUGAAGAAGCUCCUGGAGGUGAGGACCAGCCCCCCUGGUGGAGGGGCUCUUCCCCGCCGCCCUGAGAGCGGAGGGGAGGUGAGCGUUAAGGCUUGCCCCACAUCUGGUACUUUCUCCCCAGGGUUCAGAUGGCUUCUCCGAAACAAUGAUCUUUCUCAGGCCGAGUUGCCUUCCAGAUCGCAUGGGGCUAUGAGAAGUCUGGCUUGUUUUAAUUUCCGUCUUUGAUUAGUGGUCUUUUGUUGGGAUCUCACGAUCUAAUGCCAACGAAGGGUUUCUAGAUGGUUUCCUGGACCAGGCCUGUUUUAAAUUCACUCUGCUUUCUGAGUUAAUGAACAGCAUGGCUGCUGAGCAGAAGCCUGAGGCUCAGUAGACGAGUCCCUGUUGGGUGCAGGGGUGGUGGGGAGUUCCCCCUCUGGACCACAGACUCACUGUCCUGGCAAAGACCAGAUGCCAGAAGGACCCUGAGGGCUGGGCACAGUGCCGUUGGUCCAGCCUCUCCCAGGCAGAAGUGAUGGUCACUGUUUCACCAAUCAAGAAGCAGAGUGGGGGGUGGGAGGUUAAGCUACUAGAGGGCCAGAAGCCAGCUCCACCUGGCUCUGGUUUUUCUGUAAUUGAGACUUCUUCUGGCUUUUGAUUUGGGACUCGGGUGCCUUUGGGGGUGGCUUUGCUGUGCUCCCCACGUCCGACCCCUUCUGUCCUCCUGAUCCCCUUUUCCCUUUUCUCUAUCUGGGGGAUGUCGCUGAAGGGCAGCCCUCCCCCAAACACACACUGGCCCUGAGAUUAUGUGGAUAGCUUUCAGUGUUUGGGGUUUUUUGGUGGUAAAAUUGGAUUUAGUGGCCAGGUACCUUUUCUACCAGUAGGUAAGGCUCAGAUUUACAAGUCUGUGGUCUGGGUGAGUGAUCUUAGAGUCUCCUUCCCAGCAGGUUCCUCUUGCUUGGGGGAGGGGCUGGAGGUGGUUGGGGUGCUCCCCUCCCUCCCUCUGGCUGUUACCUCUUUCCUGCUGGAUUCAUUAUGCCCGUCUUCCAGUGGGAGUGAGCCCCUGUGUUCAUCGUGGGGGAAUCUGGGAGAAGAGACCAGGGAGAUGGUGAGGAUUUCACCUAAUCGGAAUAGUCUUGUUUGUACCACUCCUGUAAAAACUGGCCAGAAACUUGAUUCUGCUGGGUAAACCCUCCUUUGGGUUGCUGCCCUGCAUUUGUGUUGGCCUUGGAAAGGAAUUUGAAUGAAUACUCCCGAACAAAAGGAGCAGCUUUCUUUUCACAGAGGCUAUCAGAGAAUUGAAAGGGAAUGGCACAAAGUUGGGUGUGUCCUGAAAUCUGGAGACUGGCCCUGCCUUGAGUGAUUAACUCACCUGAAAGGCACCCGGAGCAGGUGAUGUGGGAGCGCUCUGACUGACCUUGGCUUCCUUUAGGGUAAGGUCCCCACGAGAUGGAGAUUUUCCUGAAAAACAAGCUUUCCUUUAAUUAUGAGAUUAUCUUCCUGCCCUGCAACGCCUCUCUUCCUCUAGUUGAACACGUGUGUGCUUGCAGACACGUGUGUGCUUGGGAAAUAGAUCCCUGAAUUCUUUGCUGAUGCCCCAGGGCUUCAGUAGGGUGGGAAGGGGGGUGGUGGUGGUCAGGGAUGCUAGAGACUGCCUGUUUCAAACUUCGGGUUCUGCCUGUUCCCAGAGAGUUAGGGUUAGGGUUAGCUCGGAGUGGGUUCUUUUUACCAGUUCACCUGAUUAGCCCCAGUGUGGUGGCUCAGCGCCAGCUUGGGUCUUGAUUAUGCCCCGUGAUUCUGUCUAAGCCCCCCAUUCCCCCUGCAGUUUUCGAACAAG